rnacentral:rRNA from 1 species
CUACGGGAUGCUGCAGUGAGGAAUAUUGCACAAUGGAGGAAACUCUGAUGCAGCAACGCCGCGUGGAGGAUGACGCAUUUCGGUGUGUAAACUCCUUUUAUAUGUCAAGAAAAUGAUGGUAGCAUAUGAAUAAGCACCGGCUAACUCCGUGCCAGCAGCCGCGGUAAUACGGAGGGUGCAAGCGUUACUCGGAAUCACUGGGCGUAAAGGACGCGUAGGCGGGAUAUCAAGUCAGGUGUGAAAUCCUACGGCUUAACUGUAGAACUGCACUUGAAACUGGUAACCUAGAGUAUGGGAGGGGGAGAUGGAAUUAGUGGUGUAGGGGUAAAAUCCGUAGAUAUCACUAGGAAUACCUAAAGCGAAGGCGAUCUCCUGGAACAUAACUGACGCUAAGGCGUGAAAGCGUGGGGAGCAAACAGGAUUAGAUACCCCCGUAGUC